UACGGAGGAUCCGAGCGUUAUCCGGAUUUAUUGGGUUUAAAGGGUGCGUAGGCGGAUAUGUAAGUCAGCGGUGAAACUCACAGGCUCAACCUGUGCCGUGCCGUUGAAACUGUGUAUCUGGAAUGCGGAUGCUGUGGGAGGAAUGUGUGGUGUAGCGGUGAAAUGCAUAGAUAUUACACAGAACACCGAUUGCGAAGGCAUCUCACAAAGCCGUUAUUGACGCUGAGGCACGAAAGUGUGGGGAUCAGA
rnacentral:rRNA from 1 species